GAGCACGUAGGUGGGUUUGUAAGUCAGAUGUGAAAGCCUUCUGUUCAACGGAAGAAUUGCAUCUGAAACUGCUAAUCUUGAGUAUAGGAGGGGAGAAUGGAACUUCUGGUGGAGCGGUGAAAUGCGUAGAUAUCAGAAGGAACGCCGGCGGCGAAAGCGAUUCUCUGGCCUAUUACUGACACUGAGUGUGCGAAAGCUAGGGGAGCAAACGGGAUUAGAUACCCCGGUAGUCCUAGCCGUAAACGAUGGGCACUAAGUAGAGGGGUUUU
rnacentral:rRNA from 1 species